CCCCUGGUAGCUCAAUGGUAGAGCAAUAGCCUUUUAAGCUAGUGGUUGAAGGUUCGAGUCCUUCCCGGGGGA
rnacentral:tRNA from 1 species